rnacentral:rRNA from 1 species
GACCUGCGGAAGGAUCAUUACUGAAAAGUUAUAUCCAGAAAAGGUCAUGGGAAGGGUGUCCUCCCUAAAAAGGAGGCUCCCGACCUACCCUUCUCACCCUUGUGUAUCUACCAUGUUGCUUUGGCGGGUCGACCCGGUUCUGACCCGGGCGGCCGGCGCCCCCAGCCUAGAUUUCUAGGCCAGGACGCCUGGCUAAGUGCCCGCCAGUAUACAAAACUCUGAAGAUUAUUUUUUGUAGUUCUGAUAAUUUAUUCAAUAAAUUAAAACUUUCAACAACGGAUCUCUUGGUUCUGGCAUCGAUGAAGAACGCAGCGAAAUGCGAUAAGUAAUGUGAAUUGCAGAAUUCAGUGAAUCAUCGAAUCUUUGAACGCACAUUGCGCCCCUUGGUAUUCCGAGGGGCAUGCCUGUUCGAGCGUCAUUUCAACCCUCAAGCUUUGCUUGGUAUUGGGCGACGUCCGCUAAGGACGCGCCUCGAAGACCUCGGCGACGGCGUCUCAGCCUCGAGCGUAGUAGUAAAAUAUCUCGCUUUGGAGGAAGAGACGACGGCCGCCGGACAAUCGACCUUCGGUCAAAUAUUUUCCAAGGUUGACCUCGGAUCAGGUAGGGAUACCCGCUGAACUUAAGCAUAUCAAUAA